rnacentral:rRNA from 1 species
AGCUAUGAUUUGAGAGAUAUAAUCUAUUUGCCAUAAGAUAACUGUGGUAAUUCUAGAGCUAAUAUUUUAAAGAAUGCCGUGACUAACGAAGCGGUGGAUUUAUUAGAUCAAAACUAACCUGUCGCAAGACAGAAAUUUGAUGACUCUGGAUAACUUAACUGAUCGUACAACUGUUGUUGACGACGAAUCUCUUGAAAUGGCUGACCUAUCAACUUUCGAUGGUAAGAUCAAAGCUUACCAUGGUUGUAACGGGUAACGGGGAAUCAGUGUUCGAUUCCGGAGAGGGAGCCUGAGAAACGGCUACCACAUCCACGGAAGGCAGCAGGCGCGAAAAUUACCCAAUACCGGUUCGGUGAGGUAGUGACAAUAAAUAACAAUAUGGACCCUAGUGGUUUCAUAAUUGCAAUGAGAAUAUUUUAAAUACUUUAUCAAGUAUCAAUUGGAGGGCAAGUCUGGUGCCAGCAGCCGCGGUAAUUCCAGCUCCAAAAGCGUAUAUUAAAUUUGUUGCAGUUAAAAAGCUCGUAGUUGAAAUUGAGGAACUAUUCAUUAAGCGGUCUUUGAUUGCAUUUUGGAUUUUCCUUUCCGUCGUGUAUAUUGAUUAAUCACUUUAUUGGGAUUUUUUAAUAACCGACAAGUUUACUUUGAAAAAAUUAGAGUGCUUAAAGCAGGCUUUUGCUUGUAUAUUGUUGCAUGGAAUAAUGAAAUAAGACUUCGGUUUUAUUUUGUUGGUUUUCGAA